AUUUACCGGUUAAGGCUUGUGGAGGGUCUCCUGCUAUUUACCGUUGACACCAUUAAAGUAUUCUGAUUGAUGGAGAUAAGGAAGUCCCCUUAUUAUUGUCUUCAACAAGCCUACCGCCACAGGGGACCUAGCAUAAGACCGGAAACCGCCCCCCCCACACACACACCACACAUGAUAUUUGCCAGUCCAGGCAAUGUCAACCGCAAGAGAAAACCAGUGAUGACAAGUUUUACAAAUAAUCGGAAAGUGUGGUCUUUUGAAGAGAGUUCUUGAGGUUGUUCAGCAUGUUGUUUUGAUGGAUUCUUGGAAGGAUGUACCUCUAUGAUGAUAGCUUCAGUUCUGGAGUAUAACACCAGUUGUUGCAUAUUUAAUAUCAGAUUUAUUAAAUACAUUGUUGUUUUGCAAACAUUACUUAAACUUUGAUAUUUCUUUGGUGUUUAUGUAUGAUAUUGUAGGUGAAUAUCUCUUUAUUGCAAUGGCAAAUAUAUUUUAAAAUAUAUAGCAUUAGCAGAAGUUAUUUUUCACUGUUAAAGCUGCACUUUCACAGAUUGAUCACUUUGACAACUUACACAGGAUUCGAUUGCAUUUAUCAUAUUUUGGCUCGGAGAAGUUUGCUUUGUGAUUUAUAUAUGAGGUCUUAAUUUAAAGAAUGCCAAAAUAAGCCGAUUCUGAGACAAAAAGUGUCAAACUAGAAUUCUGUGAGAGUGCAACUUUAAGAAUACUGUUAAUCGAGUGUGCAUGUGAUCCGGACUCUGAACAUUGGAUGAACUAUCAUUAAAUAUUGUAGAUUUACGUAAAUGGCCCAAAAUAUAAGAAUAACAAUGAAAAUAUGUA